GCCCUAUUAGUGUAAUGGAUAACACGCAUUCCUCCUAAGUUUGAAAUCUAGGUUCGAUUCCUAGGUAGGGUA
rnacentral:tRNA from 1 species